GGUAUAGUUCUUCGGGAUUAGAGACCGGCGCACGGGUGCGUAACGCGUAUGCAAUCUACCUUUCACAGAGGGAUAGCCCAGAGAAAUUUGGAUUAAUACCUCAUAGUAUAUAGUCCUGGCAUCAGGAUUAUAUUAAAGUCACAACGGUGAAAGAUGAGCAUGCGUCCCAUUAGCUAGUUGGUAAGGUAACGGCUUACCAAGGCUACGAUGGGUAGGGGUCCUGAGAGGGAGAUCCCCCACACUGGUACUGAGACACGGACCAGACUCCUACGGGAGGCAGCAGUGAGGAAUAUUGGACAAUGGGCGCAAGCCUGAUCCAGCCAUGCCGCGUGCAGGAUGACGGUCCUAUGGAUUGUAAACUGCUUUUGCACAGGAAGAAACACCCCUCGUGAGGGGGCUUGACGGUACUGUGAGAAUAAGGGAUCGGCUAACUCCGUGCCAGCAGCCGCGGUAAUACGGAGGAUCCAAGCGUUAUCCGGAAUCAUUGGGUUUAAAGGGUCCGUAGGCGGUUAAGUACGUCAGUAGGUGAAAGCCCAUCCGUCAACGGUGGAACGGCCAUUUGAUACUGGUAGACUUGAAUUAUAGGGAAGUUACUA
rnacentral:rRNA from 1 species